CUGCGUUGAAUGUACACAAGGUUUGCAUCACAAAUUUUUAUUUUCAAUCUUUUUCUUUUUCAUAUUCAACCGAGAGGCUUUUAGAUGUUCUAAAUAUUGGAUUGCAUUAAUUAAAGUAACUAGCUCAUUUAAUUCAUUUCAAUGUUGACGCNUUUUAGAAGUUUUAAGUGCAGAUUUGGUGAUGACGUGUUGUGAUAGAUAAUUUAGCAUUCACUUUUUAAUUUACAUUU
rnacentral:lncRNA from 1 species